rnacentral:rRNA from 1 species
CCUACGGGGUGCACCAGUGGGGAAUAUUGCACAAUGGGCGCAAGCCUGAUGCAACCAUGCCGCGUGUAUGAAGAAGGCCUUCGGGUUGUAAAGUACUUUCAGCGAGGAGGAAGGCAUUAAGGUCAAUAACCUUGGUGAUUGACGUUACUCGCAGAAGAAGCACCGGCUAACUCCGUGCCAGCAGCCGCGGUAAUACGGAGGGUGCAAGCGUUAAUCGGAAUUACUGGGCGUAAAGCGCACGCAGGCGGUCUGUCAAGUCGGAUGUGAAAUCCCGGGGCUCAACCUGGGGACUGCAUUCGAAACUGGCAGGCUAGAGUCUUGUAGAGGGGGGUAGAAUUCCAGGUGUAGCGGUGAAAUGCGUAGAGAUCUGGAGGAAUACCGGUGGCGAAGGCGGCCCCCUGGACAAAGACUGACGCUCAGGUGCGAAAGCGUGGGGAGCAAACAGGAUUAGAUACCCCAGUAGUC